CCUACGGGUGGCAGCAGUGGGGAAUAUUGGACAAUGGGGGGAACCCUAAUCCAGCGCCGCCGCGUGAGUGAAGAAGUAUUUCGUUAUGUAAAGCUCUAUCAGCAGGGAAGAAAUUGACGUUCCCUGACUAAGAAGCCCCGGCUAACUACGUGCCAGCAGCCGCGGUAAUCCGUAGGGGGCAAGCGUUAUCCGGAUUUACUGGUUGUAACGGGCGCGUAGACGGUGCAGCAAGUCUGAUGUGAAAGGUCGGGGCCCAACCCCGGGACUGCAUUGGAAACUGUUGAACUGGAGUACAGGAGAGGUAAGCGGAAUUCUUAGUGUAGCGGUGAAAGGCGUAGAUAUUAGGAGGAACACCAGUGGCGAAGGCGGCUUACUGGACUGUAACUGACGUUGAGGCUCGAAAGCGUGGGGAGCAAACAGGAUUAGAUACCCGUGUAGUC
rnacentral:rRNA from 1 species